ensembl:lncRNA
CCUUUCGGUCACGCGAGAAAACAGGCUACUCUCAUGCGCGCUCUGUCUUUGUUCCAAGAUUGAUUAAACGACUCGUGUGUUUCUCUUCGUCCUGAGAAUUGCUGUGAAGCUAGAUAACAUGCUAAUGCUGUGUUCUGAACAUAGUUUGACAAGUUUAGUCGACAUAUAAUAUGUCAUUUCGACGUUUUGGUGCGCACCCACUUGACUUUUUGGCUGCAUUUCAACCGAAAUGUGUCGUGUUUGAUCACCGAAAGACACAGACUUCCAAACUAAAGCUGUUUUUGGUUCCAGUGUCUGUGAAGGGAGGGUGCAGGUCCGUCCUUGGGAAGAAGGAGACAGUAACAAAAAUUCAAUUUUCAGAAAUCCCACAGUUGUACUGCGAGACGGCAUUUCGAAGCUCAUGAGGAUUUGGACUUAAGACGAUUUAGAGGCCCUGCCAGUCAACACCACCUCAUAAGAGGAGGAAGUACAUUGUUUAUGAGGUUUGCCUGCUGCAGUUGUUCGAGAGAUGUCCAGUUUGCAGCCGAACAUCCAACAUAGAGAAGACCAGCAAGGGGACCCUUAGCAUCACGAAGACAUGCCCUCACUGUGAGCAUUCCUAUAAAAGGGACAUCGAUGGGGAGACCAGAAUUAGAAACAUUUAUGGAGCCAGCACAUGGAGACUUGCAAGAUGAUGAAGUCCAAACUGACAGACAGGCUUGAUGGAGAGAGACCCGGCACUCUGCAUUUGUCGCGCUCUGACCAUAGAGAGCCUUUUUUAUUCUGUAUUUUGGUUUGGUCGGGGUGUAACUAGGGGGAUUGUUCCUAUCUAGGUGUUUUGUUUUCUAUCUUGGCCAGGUAUGGUUCCCAAUCAGAGGCAGCUGUUUAUCAUUGUCUCUGAUCGGGGAUCAUAUUUAGGCAGCCAUUUCCCCACUGGUUUUUGUGGGAUCUUGUUUUUGUGUAGUGCCUGUGAGCUCUACAUUUGCUUCACGUUUCGUUACUCUUUAUUGUUUUUGUGAGUUUCAUUGAAUAAACAUGUGGAACUCUACACACGCUGCACCUUGGUCCAUUUAUUCCAACGAUGGUGACAGCAUUAACAUUUUACUAGACAAC